rnacentral:lncRNA from 1 species
UAUCCAGACCACCAAUGUUCGAGGUGCAAUGGAGAAGAUAAUAUUAUUCCAGAGGUACAUCUAGAAUAAAGAAGAUAAAAUGCCAGCUGGAAAGAUAAGAUAAAGAGCAAUAAUGGAGCAGAUACAGAGCAAUAAUGGAGCAGAUAAAGAGCAAUAAUGGAGCAGAUACGACAAAAUCAACGGAGACAAGAUACUGUACAAAAACAGAAUUAU